rnacentral:tRNA from 1 species
GCGGGAAUAGCUCAAUUGGCAGAGCGACAGCCUUCCAAGCUGUAGGUUGCGGGUUCGAGCCCCGUUUCCCGCUCCA